AGAGUUUGAUCCUGGCUCAGAUUGAACGCUGGCGGCGUGCUUAACACAUGCAAGUCGUGCGAGAAAGGGGACUUCGGUCCCUGAGUAGAGCGGCGCACGGGUGAGUAACGCGUGGAUAAUCUCCCCAGAAGUUCGGGAUAACGGCGGGAAACUGCCGCUAAUACCGGAUACGCUCCAAUUUCGGUUGGGGGAAAGGCGGCCUCUGUUUACAAGCUGUCGCUUCUGGAUGAGUCCGCGUCCCAUUAGCUUGUUGGUGGGGUAAUGGCCUACCAAGGCUACGAUGGGUAGCUGGUCUGAGAGGAUGAUCAGCCACACUGGAACUGAAACACGGUCUAGACUCCUACGGGAGGCAGCAGUGGGGAAUAUUGCGCAAUGGGGGAAACCCUGACGCAGCGACGCCGUGUGAGGGAUGAAGGCUUUCGGG
rnacentral:rRNA from 1 species